rnacentral:misc_RNA from 1 species
UUAAGUUCAGCGGGUAGUCCUACCUGAUUUGAGGUCAAAUUGUCAUGUAUUGUCUGAGACGGUUAGAAGCAGUGCUAAGCAGACCAUCCAUGCAUAGCGUAGAUAAUUAUCACACCAAUAGACAGUCCACGCGGGGCACCGGCUAAUGCAUUUAAGGGGAGCUGACUAUCUGAGAAGCCAGCAAAAUAGACCCCCACAUC